rnacentral:rRNA from 1 species
UAAUCUACCCUAGGGUGGGGGAAUAACUCCUCGAAAGGGGAGCUAAUGCCGACAUGUGCGCUACUCUCGCAAGGGAGUAAUGGAAAGCCGUACCGUGGGUGCGGCGCCCAAGGAUGAGCUCACGUCCUAUCAGCUUGUUGGCGGGGUAACGGCCCACCAAGGCUGCGACGGGUAGCUGGUCUGAGAGGACGACCAGCCACACUGGCACUGCGACACGGGCCAG